UACGGAGGAUGCGAGCGUUAUCCGGAUUUAUUGGGUUUAAAGGGUGCGCAGGCGGGGGAUUAAGUCGGCGGUGAAAUUUUGCAGCUCAACUGUAAAAGUGCCUUCGAAACUGGUUUCCUUGAGUGUAGAUGAAGUAGGCGGAAUUUGUGGUGUAGCGGUGAAAUGCAUAGAUAUCACGAGGAACUCCGAUUGCGCAGGCAGCUUACUAAACUACUACUGACGCUCAGGCACGAAGGCGUGGGGAUCAAACAGGAUUAGAUACCCCCGUAGU
rnacentral:rRNA from 1 species